GGAGUCCGCAAUCCCCAGCAACAUCUUAAUGCACAGCCACAAGUUACCAUGCAACAGCCUGCUGUUCAUGUGCAAGGUCAAGAACCUCUAACUGCUUCCAUGUUGGCAUCUGCCCCCCCUCAAGAGCAAAAGCAAAUGUUGGGUGAACGGCUGUUUCCUCUUAUUCAAGCCAUGCACCCUACUCUUGCUGGUAAAAUCACUGGCAUGCUUUUGGAGAUUGAUAACUCAGAAUUACU